rnacentral:rRNA from 1 species
UUAAAAAAGUUUAUCGGACUUUUGUAUUUUAUAUCUGUGCCCUAUAUUUUCAUAAACUUUAUAUUUAUGAUAAUACUAAAAGAUAUUUUAUUAUCUAAAUUAUCAUCAACAACGUCUUAUAUAUUUUUAAAUUAUCAUUUAUGGCUUAUACGUUUUUUAUAUUUAUUCACAAAUAUUUUAAAUUAUUGAGUAAUAUAUAUGUUAAAAGUUUUCAAAAUAUAAUAUAUAUUAAAUUAUUUAGGCCUCCACGGUACUCUUGAGUUGGUUAAAAAUUUGAAAGUUUUUUUCCACUUAUUCACAAAAUUUUAAAAUUUUAUGUGAUCAAGUCAAAUUUUUAGUAUUUUGAUUUUUGGACUCCUACUUUAGUUAAUGUUCAUUUAUAUUAAAAAAUGUUAUUAAUUAAUAAAAAAUAAGGUAGAGUAAUAAAUAAUUUAUUUAAUUUAGUACCGAGUUCAAGGUUUUUCCUAUAAUAAAAAUUUUAAACAUAGCCAGACACUUAGAACAAAAUCUAGGAAAAAAAUAUGAUUAUUUUUCAAAUUAGUUAUCCAAAUAUAUGGAUAUAAUAUAAAGAUAAAUGGUUAUAAUAUAAUUAUAUAUCUUGUUAGUUUAAUUUUUGAAAUUUUGCUUUGGUUUCUGAAUCUUCCGAUAUGAAAAAAGCUAUCCAUUCUGGAGCAUAAUUAGUUGAGGAGCCUAUUUAACACUUUUAUUAAGUAGACUAUUUAGCGAUGAUCUAAUCCGUUAGAUUUAAUUUUGACGAUACAAGAUCAAAUUUAAAAAUUUAAAAUGUAUUUUAAAAUUUUGAUCUUGUACCGUAAAAAACGAAUCUAAUGAUUAGAUCACCACUAAAUAACCUAUUUAACAAAAAUGUUAAGUAAGCUCUCUUUCUCAUAAUUAGUUUUCACAAUAUGGAUUAUGAUGCCACAAUUAAUGCAGAAAUACUAGAUUAUUCCAUAAUAAUUUUCAACAAAUUUAUAUCACAUGAGAACAGCCAUGACGUAAGAUAUAUAUAUAUAUAUAUAUAUAUAUAUAUANCUCAACAAGUUCAUCAAUACAGGCUGAGUUCACUUAUAAAUUUGUGAUCAUACAAAACAUUCUCGAGAUCCUAGAUUCAACAAGGUUUGUCUAGAAGCAGCCAUCCUUGAAAGAGAGUGUAAUAGCUCACUGAUCGAGUGCUCUUUGCGCGAAGAUGAAUGGGGCUAAGCGAUCUGUCGAAGUUGUGGGAUGCACAAACGCAUUGGUAGGGGAGCGUUCUGCCUUAAAGGGAAGCACUUACGCAAGUGUGAAAGAAGCGGAAACGAGAAUGUCGCCUUGAGUAACGUAAAUAUUGGUGAGAAUCCAAUGCCCCAAAAACCUAAGGGUUCCUCCGCAUGGUUCGUCCAUGAAGGGUGAGUCAGGGCUUAAGAUUAGGUCAAAAGGCAUAGUCGAUGGACAAAAGGUGAAUAUUCUUGUACUACCCCUUGUUGGUCUCGAGGGAUGGAGGAGGCUAGGUUAGCCGAAGGAUGGUUAUUAGUUCAAGGACGCAAGGUGACCUUUCUUUUUAAGGGUAAGAAGGGGUAGAGAAAAUGUCUCGAGCCAAUGUCCGAGUACCAAGGUGCUACGAUGCAAAAGUAACUCAUGACAUACCCCUAGGAAAAGCUCGAACGACCUUCAAAAAAAGGUACUUGUACCCAAAACCACACAGAUGGGUAGGUAGAGAAUACCUAGGAACGAGAGACAAUUUUCUCUAAGGAACUCGAAAAAGUAGCCUCGUAACUUCGAGAGAAGGAGUGCCUCCUCACAAAGGGUGUCGCAGUGACCAGGUAUGAGCGGUUGUUUACCAAAAACACAUGUCUUUGCAAAGUCGUAAGACCAUGUAUGGGGGCUGACGCCUGCCCAUUGGCGAAAAGGUCAAGGAAGUUCGUGACCUGAUGAUAGGGGAGUUGGCGAUCGAAGCCCCAAUGAACGGCGGUCAUAACUAUAAUGGUCCUAAGAUAGCGAAAUUUCUUGUUGGGUAAGUUUCGACCCGCACGAAAAGCAUAACGAUAUGGGCACCGUCUCAUAUAGAGGCUUGGUGAAAUAGACAUGUCUGUAAAUAUGCGGACUACCUGCACAUGGACAUAAAGCACUAUGAAACUUUACUGUUCCUUGGAAUUGGCUUUAGGCCUUUCCUACGCAACUUAGGUGGAAGGCGAAGAAGGCUCGCUUCCGAGGGCCCGAGCCAUCAAUGAGAUACCAUUAUGGAAGAGCUACAAUUCUAACCCUGUAUCAGAACCUUUGGGCCAAGGGAUAGUCUCAGGUAGAUAGUUUAUAUGGGGCAUAGGCCUCCCAAAAGGUAAAGGAGGCAUGCAAAGGUUUCCUCGGGCCGGAUGGAGAAUGGCCUUGAGUGCAAAGGCAAAAAGGGAGCUUGACUGCAAGAUCCACCCAUCGAGUAGGGAUGAAAGUCGGCCUUAGUGAUCUGACGAUGCUGAGUGGAAGGGUCGUCGCUCAACGGAUAAAAGUUACUCUAGGGAUAAUAGGUUGAUCUUCCCCAAGACUUCACAUCGACGGGAAUGUUUGGCACCUCGAUGUCGACUCUUGGCCACCUGGGGGCUGUAAUAUGUUCCAAGGAUUGGGUUGUUUGCCCAUUAAAGCGGUAGAGCUGGGUUCAAAACGUCGUGAGACAGUUGGUCCAUAUCCGACAUGGGUGUUAGAGCAUUGAGAGGACCUUUCCCUAGUACGAGAGGACUAGGAAGGAUGCACCUCUGGUGUACCAGUUUAUCAUGCCCACGGAACAUUGGGUAGCCAAGUGCGAAGCAAAUAGCUGCUGAAAGUAUCUAGUAGCAAUCCCACCCCAAGAUGAGUGCUCUUUUAUUCCGACUUUUCCAGAGUCUUCGGUAGCACAGUCGAGACAAUGACGGGUUCUCUGCCCUUGCAGGGGAUGGAGUGAUAGAAGUAUUCAGAAUCCAAGAUAAUGUCAUGGCGAGAUGGGGCGUUUAUCAUUAUGAUAGGUGUCAAGUGGGAGUGCAGUGAUGUAUGCAGUUGAUGCAUCCUAACAUAUCGAGAUAUUUGAAC